GUUAUGAUCAGAAAAUAUAUCAGCUCCCGGAUAUGUUUUCACACCAUGAAUAGAAUUUUUGUACCUCUUGUUUAUAAGUAUGAAAUCAAUUUGAUUUCUGCAAACUUCUUCAUUACAGUCUCUUGGUGAUGUCCAAGUAUAAAGUCUUCGUUUAGGGAGUUUAAAAAAUGUGUUUGUAAUAGACAGAUUGUUUUCAUGGCAAAAUUGUGACAGCAAAUCUCCUCUUUCAUUUCUUGUUCCUAAACCAAAAGGUCCAAUAAGAUCACCUUCACUUCCUUCACCUAUUUUGGCAUUAAAAUCUCCCAUGAUGAUAAUAAUGUCUCUGCUUUUUGAGGUUCCUAUUGCUUGUGUUAAUUCUUCAUAAAAUUUUCCUAUUCUUGUUCUUUGUCGGCUGUUGGAGCAUAGAUUUGGAUUAAAUUAAUAUUUGUUUGUUUCGUUUGUAAAUGUAGACUGAUUACUCUAUCUGAGAUUGGUAAAAUGCUUUUGACAGAUUUACUAGCAUACUCAUCUAAAAUUAUUCCUACCCCAUUCCUGUGCUGGCUAUCAGAAUUUCCCGAGUAAUAUACUUUCAUGUUGUCAAUGGUCAUUUCUCCUGAGUCAGGCCAUCUUGUUUCACUUACACCCAAAACCCACGUUCUAUAGACCGUGGGAAUAACUGUGAGACUGCGCGCCAUCUGUUGAUAAGAACUUUGUACUAUUUCUUGGGCCUUCGUUACUUUUAGCAUAAACAAUUAAAUAAAGUUAAUGUCCGAGUCGUGGCUGAUAGGAGCUGCAGUACAGGCAUUAACAAGUACAGUCGAUCCCUUGAGCCACCGCCUUGCGUGUUAAUUUAGCUUGGACGCGUAGUACAAGGAAAGUUACUAAGGAAUUCGAGCGACUAUGGAAAUAACUGUCAGAGACCGGUAUUCUCCUCUGGCAGUUAUCGUUAUUGGCUCGUAGUUCUAGUUCUCUGGCAGUUAUCGGGCUACCACCACAGGUAACAUGGAAGCUGGUAACGGAAUAACUGUGUGUCUAGACGUUCCUGACUCGGUGACUCCAGUUAAAGGUCGUAGUUCCAGGUGAUAUUUCCAGAGAGGAUAGAAACUGGAGCGAACAAAUAUUUUCGUACUGCUACGGAAACGACGGUGGGCCAUCGGGGAGAGGGGAUGGCAAAUAACGGGAAUCUAUCGUCUCAUUUCUCUGCAAUUCUUGGUGUUCCGGAACAGGUGUCACUAUUUUUCCAGCCUUUGGUUGCGUUAGAGGGUAUUGACUUUCGUUCCGCGUUCUUGUUUUUCUUUGUGUUGUUGAUAUUACUACCAAUAGUUGCCAACAUGAAGAGGUCGAGGACAAGCGAAAUGUGGUCAUAUUUCGAAACUCUUGAUCGAGAGUUUGCAAAAUGUACUUUGUGCGGUAAGAAAUUAUCGUACAAAUCGACGACGACGAAUUUAAAAAAAACAUCUUCAGAAAUCACAUUUAAUUGUGAAUUUCUCUUCACAAAGACCUUCGGAGCUAGAUUUGGGUGAAACCCUUCCUGUAGAUGUGAUCCUUGGCACCAGUAGUGUGGAAGAGGAGCGAGAGGCACACCAACACCAGCAGAUGAGUCUCCGUUUAAUACUUGGGAUAUUAUAACAGUAAGUUAUAGCUCCAGAAGUCAGUCACCAGCAGCAGAUGUCACACAGUUAUAAAAUGGGAAACUUGAAGAAUAAGCUCCAGAAGUCAGCAGCAGCAGCAGCAGCAGCAGCAGCAGACGUCACACAGCCAUAAUGGGAGAAGCUUGAAGAAUAAUGUGUUAUGGCUCCGAUAGUCUUCCAGCAGCAGCAAAUGUUACACAGUCCUAUAGAGGCAAACUUGAAGUAUAAAGUAAUAGUGUUUUGCAUACAAUGGCAAACUCGACCUUUCGCUUAAAAUGGAGUAUCGGCUUUGAAAUUUGGUCACUGGAUACAACUAUAUUAUCUUUCAUGUUGAUAGCAGCAAUCAUCAGAUUGCAAUCCAGUUAAGUACCUGUGAGGCAUGAGAUGUCAAAAAUACUUGUGGGUUAUUGGUAGCCUGUGUCAAGGCAUGUGGCACCUCAAAGUUUGUAAGUACAGUAGCAUUUUGUUUUCUACUUUACUUAAAAAUUGGUAGCUGUAGCACCCAUUCUGACAUUCAAUUAUUUUGAAUUUCAAGUUUCUUAGAAUGAUACUGACAUCAGUUUGUUAACACUAAUCCGUAUAUUAUUGUUAAUAUAUGCUGCUAUUUUCCUCAGAUGUUAACUGAAAUUGUUUUAUUGUUAUGAUAACAACACUUCAGCCUUUGCAAACUUGCAGUACAGGUUACCUGCUGAGAAAUAUUUACUGGAAGAAAUGGUUUCUUGAAUAGGACCGAAAGGAAAACCACUGAAAAUGCCAAACGUGAAUUGGUGAAACAUCUUGUGCUCAGUACUAAAUUUCAUUUGCAAAACACGGAAGUUUUCCUAUCUUUGUGGUGGAACACAACAAAUUCUCAUAAUUUUGCUAGUUUGUAUUCUAGAAAGGGUGCCAGAAAUGGAAGAGUAUAAUUUUUAUUAAAUCGGGCAUUAAAUGUAAGUAGGUUGGAGUACAGAAAGGGUGCAACUGGCCUUCCCCACUGUAGCCUGAUGUGCUCCAACAUGCAUUUGUACUGAUGUGCAGGUGGUUAUAACACUAGUAUCAAACUGCAUGGUACCCACUUACUAAUGUGACCUACCCUUGCAUGAUCUUCUGCAGACAGCAAGAAAUGCGCUACUGCUCUUACUACCUGUCCAACAGUUGUGGAGGAUUUUUUCCCCUUGGUGCUUGACAUGACAUGUUUUGCCCUCUGCCCUUAAAAUCUCAAUUCUUGUUACAUUUUCUAUCUCCUGAUGGACCUGUAUUGAUUAAAAAACUAAUCACUGCAGAGGUGAUUGUAGAACUUUUGCUAGUGGCAGUGUGGAGGGGCUCCACUCUUUAAAAAAUAAAAUUACAUUGUGGGACAUGGAAUUAUUAUUAGAUGCUUUCAUGGACAUUUUGUUUACUGAAAAAGUCAGUCAUUAUCUGAGGUAUUUAAAUGUUAACUUCAAAUCUAAAACUGCAUCAAAAGAUAAAUUUCAGUAAGUCUUUAACAAGUUUCAGUAUCUUGUUUCACAUGCUGGACCCUCCAACUAUAAAAAACAGUGUUUUGCAGAGAACAGCUAUUCAGAUGUUAACAUCCCAGAAUUUGUGUAGAAGAUAUCCCUUACAUUGUUAGUUUCAUUGUGGUCACACUCUACAGUGUAGUGUUAUCAGCAUACAUAUAGAAGUUUGAAGAACAUAUUAAAUUAAUUGCUAGACAUGCCUUAAGUGAAUAUGUUUACUACUAAUGUGAGUCAACUAAGUAGUUGCUGCAAGUUUUUAUGUUAUUUCUAAAGUGUCUUUAGACAAGGAUAUUUCUGCUGUUUGUUUCCUGUUCUUCUGUUUCAGAUAACUACUCAUAUAUGCAGCAACUGCUGAAGCAGCCUCUGGCAGUUUAUUGAAGUUCCGUGAACAAAGUGUUGUGUGGUCUGUUUGUGUAAAAUGUUAAAGUGUAAUUGUGUAUAUAUUUAAUCAUUAUUUUUGUUAGUUGUAAGAUCUAUUUUCAUGUAAAUCAGAACAUUGUAUAAUAGGUAACAACCAAAUGAGGCAGUGUAGCUAUUAACAGCACUGACCUCAUAUUCGGGAGGAUGGGGUUCGCUCUGUCUGGCCAUCCUGAUUCGGGUUUUCCUGGAUCGCUAAGGCAAAUGCCGGGAUGGUUCCUUCAUCAAGGCCACGGCUGACCACCUGUCCCGCCCUUAAAGAGAUCCUUUAAACAUUGUGUGUAUACCCAUAUUUUGAAUUAUUGAUGUUUGUUGUAUUAUGUUGAGAUAUUCUUGGAUGAAAUAAAAAAAGUUUAUACAUUUGUA